UACGAAGGGUCCAAGCGUUGUUCGGAAUUACUGGGCGUAAAGCGCACGUAGGCGGAUUCAUAAGUCAGAUGUGAAAUCCCCGGGCUCAACCUGGGAAUUGCAUUUGAAACUGUGAACCUUGAAUGCUUGAGAGGGUGACGGAAUUCCUGGUGUAGAAGUGAAAUUCGUAGAUAUCAGGAGGAACACCGGAGGCGAAGGCGGUUGCCUGGCGAUGCAUUGACGCUGAGGUGCGAAAGCGUGGGUAGCAAACAGG
rnacentral:rRNA from 1 species